CAAUGAAAAAAAAAAAAAAAAAAAAAAAAAAAAAAAAA
rnacentral:ribozyme from 1 species